rnacentral:hammerhead_ribozyme from 1 species
AUUCAGCUAACGAGUCCGAAAUAGGACGGAAUGCGCGUCCUGGAU